GAAUACAACUUGAUUCAUUUUGAACUGGCAGUCAAGACAAAGCAGACAAGAGCUUAGGCUCUGGGCGGCUGCUUCCUUUGCAGACUGUAGCAUCCAUUCGCCUCCUCCAGUCAUUUAUUCCACAAACACACAUUGAGCACCAGCUAGUGUUAGGUUUCCAGAAGCCCUAUCUUUUGCCUCCUGGGGUUGCUAAGAAGAGGCUUGAAGCUCCUUAAAGAAAAGACGGAGCUGUUCGUUAUCUGUAACUAAAAGGAGCCCUCGAGAUCCACUCCGUGCCAAGAUGAGCCAUCUAAAGGGGGAUGGCGCCUAUCAGAUGGCCUCGGGCCAGAGCUCUUCAGUUGGCAGGAACAGGUCCCAGGUCAGAGAGGGGCGGACCGGGGCGGGGCGCGCGCCCGGUACCUGAGGUGGCCGCCAGAGGGCAGCCAGGGAGCGCGCCCGGACGGGGCGAAGCCCCAGAUGUGACUCCUGCCCUGGGCUGUGCUCCCCGUCAUGGCUGACACCAUCUUCAGCAGUGGAAAUGAUCAGUGGGUUUGCCCCAACGAUCGGCAGCUUGCUCUGAGAGCCAAGCUGCAGACGGGCUGGUCUGUGCACACGUACCAGACGGAGAAGCAGAGGAGGAGCCAGUGCCUGAGCCCCGGAGAGCUGGAGAUCAUCCUUCAGGUCAUCCAGAGAGCAGAGAGGCUAGACAUCCUGGAGCAGCAGAGAAUUGGGCGGCUGGUGGAGCGGCUGGAGACAAUGCAGAGGAACGUGAUGGGCAACGGUCUCUCCCAGUGUCUGCUCUGCGGGGAGGUGCUGGGAUUCCUGGGCAGCUCCUCCGUAUUCUGCAAAGACUGCAGGAAGAAAGUCUGCACCAAGUGUGGGAUCGAGGCUUCCCCCGGCCAGAAGCGGCCCCUGUGGCUGUGUAAGAUCUGCAGUGAGCAGAGAGAGGUCUGGAAGAGGUCAGGGGCCUGGUUCUACAAAGGGCUCCCCAAGUACAUCUUGCCCCUGAAAACCCCUGGCCGGGCUGAUGAUCCCCACUUCCGACCUCUGCCUGUGGAGCCCACAGAAACACAGCCUCCGAGUGCUGAAACCAGCCGUGUCUACACAUGGGCCCGAGGGAGAGUGGUUUCCAGUGACAGUGACAGUGACUCAGAUCUCAGCUCCUCCAGCCUGGAGGACAGACCCUUGCCCUCUGGGGUCAAGGGCACAAAAGGUGACAAGCCUAGAGGGGACUCAGGACAAGGUGCUUCCGCUGCCUCCUCCAUGAUGGCUUCAGUCCCCUCCCACCAUAUCAACUCUCAGCUGCGUAGGAUCAUCUUGAAUAAGGUGUGCCAGCAUGGAGUCACCCAGGCUGGGGCCUGCCCGUCCACCCAGCCAUCUCUCGGGCAGUCAGAGCAGCCUAGGCAGUGAGGCUGGGACAGGUGCUACAGAGCCACAGGGAGGCACCCCAGCCCAGCCUGAGCCCAGGGUACCCGGCAAAAGACACACAUGGGCAACUCCCCGCUACUGAAGUGGCCAGCUGACAUCUCCAGGCUGAGGCAAACUCUUCCAGAGGAAGAUUCAGAGAGGGACAACGGGGCCAGCCUCGCAGAGCGCCCCUCUGAAGGUUCUUGAGGCUUCCCAAGCUCCUUGAUACCUUGACGUGCUACUCAACAAGCCAGUGUUUGGGGACUGAGCAUGCUUGCCCCCACCCUGUCAUGCCUUAUCGACUAUCUCACUCAGCACCCCACCUUUAUUUAUUGUUCUUCUCCCAUCCCAGUCACAUCUCUAUUUGCUUGGGUCUUGGGUUGGGCUGAGAAGGCCUUCCUAUAUGCACUGAAGUUUGGGUGGGACCACACAGGGCUUUCUUGGUACUAAUGAUGAGAAACCUAACCCUCAGUGUGACCCUGUAGAGCUGAGCAACCCACCCCCGCCCCCACCCCCAGUGUUAGCCUGGAGCACCCACCCCUUUCCCUCUUCCUUCAACUGUUGGAGGCCAGAACAGGGUCCUAUUUGCCCCGAGGCUUGUCCAGGAGCUGAGUUAAAUCCAGCUUUGAGGUUUCCCUGAAGCCCCCUAUUGGCCUCUGGGUUUUUGUUCCACCCUGAAACACAGCUUCCUCUAAGACAUUAAAGCGCUUUUUGUUCUUCAGUGGAAAACAAGGCUCCCACCCUGCCUCAUGCUUGCUGGCCCUGCCUGGGAGUUUCAAAUUCUGAAAAAAAUACUCAAAAUACAGAAAAAUACAGAUGCCUCUGGGAAACCCCUCCCUGGGGUGGGGAGGUGUCCAAUGCCCUUCCUUCCCUGAGGCCAGUUCCAUCCCUCCUGACCAGUCCCUUCGUCCUUGGAGGGCUUUCUCUCCAAGCCCACCACCGUUAACCUUUUGCCUGUUGCUGCUGGCAGAAGACAAACUUACCAUGUCCCUGUGACACGUAACCCAUCAGCACUAACAUUAUAAACACGAGAAUUUUCACACGGAGUCUCUCUCUCUUCCAAAGACCACAAUCCCCACGCUCCGACCUGUGUUGGGAAAGCGGUGGAUGGAUUGAAAUAGGUAGCGCCAAUUCACUGAAACCUUUCUAAAGCCUGAGCAAGAGAAACCAGCCAGAUCAGUGUCUCAGUGCACCUCCCAACCCUAACACUAAAUCAAGUCCAUCUAUACAGAAAAACUAAUCAAAAUGGGUCCUAAAUAAACCUACUUCUGGCUACAUGUGA